GACGAACCGUGCGACCGUUGUUCGGAAUCACUGGGCUUAAAGGGCGCGUAGGCGGGCCGCCGCGUCCGGGGUGAAAUCCUCCCGCUCAACGGGAGAACGGCCUCGGAUACGGGCGGCCUGGAGGCGGGUAGGGGCACGCGGAACUGUGGGUGGAGCGGUGAAAUGCGUUGAGAUCCACAGGAACUCCGGUGGCGAAGGUGGCGUGCUGGACCCGAUCUGACGCUGAGGCGCGAAAGCCAGGGGAGCGAACGGG
rnacentral:rRNA from 1 species